rnacentral:rRNA from 1 species
UGGGGAAUAUUGCACAAUGGGCGCAAGCCUGAUGCAGCCAUGCCGCGUGUGUGAAGAAGGCCUUCGGGUUGUAAAGCACUUUCAGCGAGGAGGAAGGGUAGUGUGUUAAUAGCACAUUGCAUUGACGUUACUCGCAGAAGAAGCACCGGCUAACUCCGUCCCAGCAGCCGCGGUAAUACGGAGGGUGCAAGCGUUAAUCGGAAUUACUGGGCGUAAAGCGCACGCAGGCGGUUUGUUAAGUCAGAUGUGAAAUCCCCGCGCUUAACGUGGGAACUGCAUUUGAAACUGGCAAGCUAGAGUCUUGUAGAGGGGGGUAGAAUUCCAGGUGUAGCGGUGAAAUGCGUAGAGAUCUGGAGGAAUACCGGUGGCGAAGGCGGCCCCCUGGACAAAGACUGACGCUCAGGUGCGAAAGCGUGGGGAGCAAACA